AAGACUAUAGACCUGCGGAGUACCUGCGGAGGGAUCAUUAUCGAGAGCGCCCCCCCUAAAAAAGGGGGCACCUCCCGUCCUUUGCCGGCCCCUUGGGGCUUUUUCAACGUUUUGCUUCGGCGGGGUUACCCGCCGGAACACCCUCAAAAAUACUUUUUGUCGAAACCUUUCCGUCCGAGGAUUAUCUUGCAAAAAGCGAAAAACUUUUAACAAUGGAUCUCUAGAUCGGAAGAGCACACG
rnacentral:misc_RNA from 1 species